AACGAACGCUGGCGGCAGGCCUAACACAUGCAAGUCGAACGUGAAGCCACCUUCGGGUGGUGGAAAGUGGCAGACGGGUGAGUAACGCGUGGGAACGUGCCUUUCGGUUCGGAAUAACCCAGGGAAACUUGGGCUAAUACCGGAUACGCCCUUCGGGGGAAAGAUUUAUCGCCGAAAGAUCGGCCCGCGUCGGAUUAGCUAGUUGGUAGGGUAAUGGCCUACCAAGGCGACGAUCCGUAGCUGGUCUGAGAGGAUGACCAGCCACACUGGGACUGAGACACGGCCCAGACUCCUACGGGAGGCAGCAGUGGGGAAUAUUGGACAAUGGGCGAAAGCCUGAUCCAGCCAUGCCGCGUGGGUGAAGAAGGCCCUAGGGUUGUAAACCCCUUUCAGCGGGGAAGAUAAUGACGGUACUCGUAGAAUAAGCAUCUGCUAACCACGUGCCAGCCGCCGCGGUAACAC
rnacentral:rRNA from 1 species